AUUGAACGCUGGCGGCAUGCUUUACACAUGCAAGUCGAACGGUAACAGGUUAAGCUGACGCGUGGCGAACGGGUGAGUCAUGCAUCGGAACGUGCCCAGUCGUGGGGGAUAACGCAGCGAAAGCUGCGCUAAUACCGCAUACGAUCUGAGGAUGAAAGCGGGGGCCCGUACGGCCUCGCGCGAUCGGAGCGGCCGAUGUCAGAUUAGGUAGUUGGUGGGGUAAAGGCUCACCAAGCCGACGAUCUGUAGCUGGUCUGAGAGGACGACCAGCGACACUGGGACUGAGACACGGCCCAGACUCCUACGGGAGGCAGCAGUGGGGAAUUUUGGACAAUGGGCGCAAGCCUGAUCCAGCAAUGCCGCGUGCAGGAAGAAGGCCUUCGGGUUGUAAACUGCUUUUGUACGGAGCGAAAAGGCUCUCUCUAAUACAGGGGGCUCAUGACGGUACCGUAAGAAUAAGCACCGGCUAACUACGUGCCAGCCGCCGCAGUAA
rnacentral:rRNA from 1 species